UCUGCUACCCCAGCCUACGUCCCGCUGUCCCCACAAUGUCCUCUCCCUGACCAGGAAACGACGCCCCUAGAGGGUGGCAGCAUGUGGCUUCCUAGUGCCUGGUACUGGCUCCCUCCAGGAUACCUGAACCGGCUCUGCAGGAAGCCAGCAUCAUGGGCAAAUGAAAACAGGAAAGUUUGGGAAUUUUAGAUGAAAAGAGACCAGAGAGAUCCAACAACCAAAAGUUCACCUCACCUGAAUCCUGGUUCAAAAGAAAAAAAAAAAAACAGAAACAGACAAACAAAAAUCAGCUAUGAAGAGGCUACUGUGGAAGGAGACACCCGCCCCAUCCAAUUCUUGGAGCCACAGCAACGUGCCUGGUGCAAAGUGGUGUCACAGCCAGCGCGACAAAUCUGACCAAGAAAAUCGAUCUGGACGCACUUGCCAAGUUGAUCCUCCACACCAUCAAUUCCAUUGCUGUCGCUGUCCCCUGUGCCCUUUACUGCCCCUGGGGAGGACUGUAAUCUGCCUUCCACCACACCCUGACCUUGGGCACAGCCCCUCCCCACCUCCAGGUUUCCUGUUCUUGUCUUGCGGAGGCGGCGGUCCCGGGCAUCAUCUUGAGACUGCCAGACAACUUGCUGAGAUUGUAUCCUGACUCUUGCAAUGAGCCGUUUUGGGGAGCCUUCUUCCUCUGAGUCAUCAGAAUGAUUUUGACUUUCUCUGGCUCUGCCAUAUUUUUCCACUGGUCCCAUAAAGGAAUCUGCCUUUCU